GGAGAGGUGGCAGAGUGGUCGAUCGCGCACGCUUGGAAAGCGUGUAAGGUGUAAAAGCCUUCGAGGGUUCGAAUCCCUCUCUCUCCGCCA
rnacentral:tRNA from 5 species